rnacentral:rRNA from 1 species
AACGAACGCUGGCGGCGUGGAUAAGACAUGCAAGUCGAACGGGAUUCUCCAAGGUAGCAAUAUUGAGGAGGGUCUAGUGGCGUAAGGGUGCGUAACACGUGGGCAAUCUGCCGAAAAGUGGGGGAUAGCUCGUCGAAAGGCGAAUUAAUACCGCAUGUGGUUUGAGUGGGAUUCCACUCGCUACCAAAGUCGGUCGUAGCAAUACGGCUGACGCUUUUUGAUGAGCCCGCGGCCUAUCAGCUAGUUGGCGGGGUAAAAGCCCACCAAGGCUAUGACGGGUAGCUGGUCUGAGAGGACGACCAGCCACACUGGAACUGAGACACGGUCCAGACACCUACGGGUGGCAGCAGUCGAGAAUUUUUCUCAAUGGGGGAAACCCUGAAGGAGCGACGCCGCGUGGAGGAUGAAGGUCUUCGGAUUGUAAACUCCUGUCAUUUGGGAACAAACUGCACGGAUUAACUGUCUGUGCACUGAUAGUACCAGAAGAGGAAGAGACGGCUAACUCUGUGCCAGCAGCCGCGGUAAUACAGAGGUCUCGAGCGUUGUUCGGAUUCAUUGGGCGUAAAGGGUGCGUAGGUGGUUUGGUAAGUCGGAUGUGAAAUCCCGGGGCUCAACCCCGGAACUGCAUUCGAUACUGCUUUAACUUGAGUGCUGGAGAGGAGAUCGGAAUUUACGGUGUAGCAGUGAAAUGCGUAGAUAUCGUAAGGAAGACCAGUGGCGAAGGCGGAUCUCUGGACAGCAACUGACACUGAGGCACGAAGGCCAGGGGAGCAAACGGGAUUAGAUACCCCGGUAGUCCUGGCAGUAAACGGUGCGCGUUUGGUGUGGGAGGAUUCGACCCCUUCCGUGCCGGAGCUAACGCGUUAAACGCGUCGCCUGGGGAGUACGGUCGCAAGAUUA